rnacentral:rRNA from 1 species
GAACGCUGGCGGCAUGCCUUACACAUGCAAGUCGAACGGCAGCACGGGAGCAAUCCUGGUGGCGAGUGGCGAACGGGUGAGUAAUGCAUCGGAACGUGCCAUUGAGUGGGGGAUAACGUAGCGAAAGUUACGCUAAUACCGCAUAUUCUGUGCGCAGGAAAGCAGGGGAUCGCAAGACCUUGCGCUCUUUGAGCGGCCGAUGUCAGAUUAGCUAGUUGGUGAGGUAAAGGCUCACCAAGGCGACGAUCUGUAGCGGGUCUGAGAGGAUGAUCAGCCACACUGGAACUGAGACACGGUCCAGACUCCUACGGGAGGCAGCAGUAGGGAAUAUUGGACAAUGGGCGCAAGCCUGAUCCAGCCAUGCCGCGUGAGUGAAGAAGGCCCUCGGGUUGUAAAGCUCUUUUGUCCGGAAAGAAAAGCGCCGGGUUAAUACCCUGGUGUCCUGACGGUACCGGAAGAAUAAGCACCGGCUAACUUCGUG